AUCACUAUUGUAGAAUCUAAGAUUGGCCUUUUGAGAUAUCUUUUCAGGAUUUUUGCAUGUCUGACACCAAUGGCUCCACCUGGACCCACCAGGAUCUGCCAACUGCUCCUGUGGCCCCACCCAGAAAUGAUUCAGUGCAAGAGGAAGCUUCAAUCCCCUGAUUUCAUCUCUGAACCAACCAAUCAGCACUUCCCAUACCCUAGCCCCCUGCCCACCAAACUACUUUUGAAAAACCCCUACCCUAUGAGCCUUCAAGGAGAUUGAUCUUCUGUUUGUUUGUUUGUUUUUGUUUUUUGAGACAGAGUCUCUCUCUGUCAGCCAGGCUGGAGUGCAGUGGCACCAUCUCAGCUCACUGCAACCUCCACCUCCUGGGUUCAAGCAAUUCUCAUCCUUCAGCCUCCCGAGUAGCUGGGAUUACAGGCACCCACCACCACACCCAGGGGAAGUUCUGUCAACCCUGGCCUGCUUUGGGACACCAGUGGACCUCCCCAGAGCUGGUGGUGAAAAUUCCUGGAGUUCACAAGAGAGCUGGUUGUUAAAAGGAGCCUGGGCCAGUGUGAUGGUUCGCAUCUCUAAUCCCAACACUUUAGGAUGCCAAGACAGGAGGAUUGCUUGAUGCCAAGACAGGAGGAUUGCUUGAGGCCAAGUAUUCAAGACCAGCCUGGGCAACACAGACAUUGCAACAUCCCUGUCUUUACCAAAAAGGAAAAAAUUAGCCAGCCAUGGUGGCAUGCACCUAUGGGCCUAGUUACUCAAGAGGCUGACGUGGGAAGAUAGCUUGAGCCCAGGAGUUCAAGGUUACAGUGUCCAGCCUGGGUGACAGAAUAAGACCACGUCUCAAAAAACAAAGAAACAAACAAACCAGCCUGGGACCUCCUCCCUGCUUUGCUUCCUCUUCAGCAUGUGUGAUCUCUUUGCACAUGCCGAUUCCCCUUUCACAUUCCACCUUGAGCUGAAGCAGCCUGAGACCCUCACCAGAGGCCCAAUCUUGAACUUUCCAGCCACCAGAAUUGCAAGCUAAAUAAACCUCUUUUCUUCAUAAA
rnacentral:lncRNA from 1 species